rnacentral:rRNA from 1 species
UACGGGGGGUGCGAGCGUUGUUCGGAAUUACUGGGCGUAAAGCGCGCGUAGGCGGCUUUGUAAGUUAGAGGUGAAAGCCCGGAGCUCAACUCCGGAACUGCCUUUAAAACUGCAUCGCUUGAAUCCAGGAGAGGUGAGUGGAAUUCCGAGUGUAGAGGUGAAAUUCGUAGAUAUUCGGAAGAACACCAGUGGCGAAGGCGGCUUACUGGUCCGGUACUGACGCUGAGGUGCGAAAGCGUGGGGAGCAAACAGG